UAUAUUUAUUUUCGAAAUUUCCGAAAUUUUAUUUUUGUCGGAAUUUUGUUUGGUAUAAAUUCCGAAAAAUCCCUAAAUUUUUAAUUUGCAAAAAAAACAAUAUUAAUUACCCCCGUUUUCGUAUUUUUAUUUAAUUUAUUUUAUUAUUUGUUUUUCGAAAUAAUAUUUAUUAAUUAUUUUAUUAUUUUUAAAAUUAAUAUUUCGAUAUUUUAUUCGUUUAAAAUUGGAAUUACGUUCGACGUUUUUUCAAAUAUAAAUAAAUUCUCGUAUUUUAAUUUUGACGUUUUUACAAACAAUUUAUUUCGUUUUCCGUUCGUUUUUUUUUAUAAUAUAAUAUCGUUUAUUUCCAAAUAAUUUUUUAAUAUUUUUUAAAUUAAUAUAUUAUAUAAUUCGAAAUAUGUUUAAUUCCAAUUAAUAAAUUUUUUUUGGUAUUUAUAAAAACUUUUUUCCAAUUUUCGUUAUAUUGGUUAAUAAUUUUUAAUAUUUAUAUUUUUCGUUAAAUUAUUAUUAUUUUUUUCGAAUUUUUAAAAAAUCCGUAAAAAUUAGUAUAAAGGAAAUUUGUUUCGAUAUUUUUUUUAAAAACGCCGGUAAUUUUAAUUUCGAUAUAAUUAUAUCGAAAUGGGUUUAUUCCAUAUUUUAAUAUUUAUUAUCGUUUUGGAAUUCCAAUUUCCCGUUUAUCAUACCGUAUUUUAUCGUUUCCGGAACGUUAUUAUUUUGUUUAAAUUGGUUAUUAAUUAUAAAACAAUUGGUUUAAAUAAUAAAGUUUAAAAACCUUUAAUUGGUUAAAACGGAUAUUAUUUUUAUAUUUUUUACGGAACGUUUAAAUAAACGUUAUACGUUUAAUAUAACAGUUUAACGUAUAUCAACGGUUUUUUUAAUAUUAUCCGUAAAAUAUUUUGUCGGUUUUAAAUAUUUGUAAAAUAACGGUAUUAACGUUUUAUCCUUUUAUUUUGCUUUUUUAUAUUAUUUAAAUAAUAUUAUUCAAUAUUAAUA
rnacentral:sRNA from 1 species